UACGAAGGGGGCUAGCGUUGUUCGGAAUCACUGGGCGUAAAGCGCGCGUAGGCGGAUUGUUAAGUCAGGGGUGAAAUCCCGAGGCUCAACCUCGGAACUGCCUUUGAUACUGGCAAUCUUGAGUCCGGGAGAGGUGAGUGGAACUCCUAGUGUAGAGGUGAAAUUCGUAGAUAUUAGGAAGAACACCAGUGGCGAAGGCGGCUCACUGGCCCGGUACUGACGCUGAUGUGCGAAAGCGUGGGGGAGCAAACAGG
rnacentral:rRNA from 1 species